UAGAGGUUGUCCAUGAGGGCUCCACCCCUAC
rnacentral:piRNA from 1 species